CGAUCAAUGAAAGGAAAAUUCUCUGGCCGUUACAAAUCCAAAAAAGAAUGAAAAGAAGUCUUGCUCGAAGGAAGAGCAAAAGGAAGGACUUCUUUUCUAUCAUUCUUUUUUGGUUAUUUGUGUACGGCCAGAGGAUCAGGGCUUACUUCCAUCUCCUUAACAACCGUUCUUUUAGAAAAGAUAAAGAGAAUGUGGAACGGUUGUUGGAAAGGAGAUGGAAAUAUAAGCCUCUGAUCCCAUUCCUUUUCAUUCAAUGAUUAAUUUCCUGAAGAAAUCUAAUCAUGAAAA
rnacentral:ribozyme from 11 species